AUAUAAAGGCAUGUCUGUUGGUUCCCUGUCUUGGAAAUGUAAGAUUUGAAUAUGGAGAACUGUGGACCUGGCCCUAGCCACAGCAAGGCAUUUCCCACAGUG
rnacentral:snoRNA from 1 species